UUAAGUGAGAUUGAGGUUCUCACAUUGACAUGCUUGAAGGUGGUUGUCUCCAGAGAUAUAGCAUCAUGUAGUCUGAUAUAUAUUGACUGACAUUUUAGAGGAGCUUACUGCCUCCAUCAUAUGGGUGAUGAAUGAUACUAAUGAUGGAGGCAGUAGUCUUCUCUAAAUUGCUGGUCAGCAUCUACCAGACUGUGUGGUGCAACACACCAGAAGACAGCCACUGUCUCAGAUUAGAUUAAUUCACCCAUGUAAUAUUUUACAUCUUCAAGUCUUAAAAUUGGAAUAUGUGCACAAUCAUAUGUGUGCAUAAAUACACCACAGACUUUCAAAUUUAUGUGUAUAUGUUCACAGUGUGAUUACAACAACUACCCAAAUAUAAGGGCACAGCACCAGCAACACAUCUCAGGACAUGCACGAAGACAAUAUCUCACCACCCAGCUAGACACAACAAUACUUUCUUGAAGAUUUUAACAUGUUUUCGCUAUUCAGUUCUAGAGUUGUGGGUUUUAAAGAAUAGACAAUGGGAAAAAGUCCUGACAAUCAAUAAUUUUAAGAUUUUUUCACUUUGUUCUACUGUUUAUGAUUCAUCUGUUUCUGUUGCUAUUGCUUUUACCCUACAAAAUUAAUGAUCAUUACAUUCAUUAUGAGGUGCAGUGACUUGUUUGUGCAAAUAGAGUUGUUAUUAAACUGGUGACAAUUUGUUGACAAUUGAAACAUGUCAUUCAUAGGUGAUACUAAUAGCUAACUAGUGAUACAAUGGAACAUUGAUGGAUUAGGCACUAGAAAUUGUUGUGUAAGACAUGACUGCACAUUAAACACAAGAUUAUGUAUUUUUA